GCCUACGACCAUAUCACCCUGAAUGCGCCCGAUCUCGUCUGAUCUCGGAAGCUAAGCAUGGUCGAGCCUGAUUAGUACUUGGAAGGGAGACUGCCUGGGAAUACCAGGUGUUGUAGGCU
ensembl:rRNA 5S_rRNA 5S ribosomal RNA